GUGUUUGACGUUAAUUCGGAUGGUGUUUGCCGUUAAUUCGGAUGAUGUGGUGUUUGACGUUAAUUCGGAUGGUGUUUGCCGUUAAUUCCGAUGGUGUUUGAGGUUAAUUAAGAUGGUGAUGGUGUUUGAUGUUAAUUCGGAUGAUGUGGUGUAUGAUGUUAAUUUGGAUGGUGUUUGAGGUUAAUUAGGAUGGUGUGGUGUAUAAUGUUAAUUUGGAUGGUGUUUGAGGUUAAUUAGGAUGGUGUUGGUGUUUGACGUUAAUUCCAAUGGGUGUUUCACGUUAAUUCCAAUGGUGUUGGUGUCUGAAACUGAAACAGCUUCACCUACAGAAAACGUCUCGUACAAGUGAGUCGACUCUCAGCGUGUGAACGACUCACCGAGCGACUCGUUCACAAACGACCCAUCACUAAUAUCCAGAUGUUUCCUCAUGCUCUCAGUCUGUCUGCGUGCUGGAAUAAUCUUUUACAUUCUUGGUAUUUACUCAGGCAGAACACAGGGACGUAUCGAUCUGUAAUACAUUCCUCUUUCCCGUCGUUCUUUUUUUUACUGAGAAGUGUAACCACGGAGACGUGACGAAACUAUCCAUACGUUUUACGCGUGCAAGCCGUCUUGCCGUGGAACGUUCCGGUGAAUCAUUUCUUCAUCCGUUCUCAAACAUGUCACAUUAAGCCUUUAGAAGUCGUUCAACAUCAAUACAAAGACGAAGUGAUGGGGCAAUGACAAACACAGCUGACUGGGAAAUAAAUUCUGAUUGUUCAAAAACCUUCUCGCUUCUCACUGGACCAUUUGUAGACCCUCAAUGGGAAAGACCGGAAGCUUCCUCACGACACACUCGGAUCUUCUGCUCUAAUCAUUACAUUGUGCUUCCUCCAUGUUUACAGACUUGCCUCUGUCUUCACUGUGUAUCUCUACUCCAUCAUUCUGUAUUGAUUCCACUGUUCUUCUGUUCUCCAUCAUGGCAAUGGAUGUCUAAUGGAUGUCUGAUGUCUAACCCUGUUCUUUACCCUGAGGGGAAAAGUUCCUCCUGGAAUUGCACCAUGUAGGAACUUGAAUUUCCUUGUUUGGAAAAAAAAAAAAAAAACACACGAGGAAACCUAAGGAUGGAGAACCUUCUUUUUCUGGGAAGUCGGUGAUGAAGGUGAUGAAUUUCUCUUGUUUGAAAGAUAGACUUUAAGAAAAAAAAGAGAUAUAGUUAUAUAUAUUUCCCUCCAGAGACCCAAAAAGGAUUCACCCUACAACCACCUCUUAUUUGAGAGGGUUCUAAUUUAAGAACUCCAGAGAAACUCAUUGAAGAACCAUUUAAAAAUCACCGUUUUAUUCUUAUGAGUUUACGUUAGCAUCCUAAACAGUUCAUCGGUUUGGUUCUCUUGGGAACCCAGACAGGAUCUUCGUUUCUUUCCAUGUAGAACCUCUUUUGAAGCGUUUUUUACAGUGAGAUUUAGAACCGAAGAUCGUUACUUUAUUUAUUUAGUUCAUUCGUUUAUUUAGAUCGUGAGGCGUUUUAUUUUCACCGCCCCAAGGCUACUUUUUUCUGAAAUCCUUCCAUACACAUUUCAGUACCCAAAGAGCAAAAUGAUAUGUCUGGGUUCUGUUUUAUGUUCUGACCUUUGCUUUUGACUCGAUGAUUCAGAGUUUAACUGGGCUUUAAAAAUGAAAGGUUAGAACUUUAUUGAACCACUUUCCCUGGGAAAUCACUUCACACCACAGGAUGAAGAUGAGAGCACUGCACGCUUUACUCACUUUAGAGAACCGGUCCAAAUUGUGGAAAUGUUCUAGCAGCUCAUAAAGACUUUUACAGAAUCUCACCACAGCUGAACAAAAGAAUCGUUUGGGCUUUGUGCAACAGCGUUUUAGUAACAGUCCGUCCACAAUUGUACUCAUAAAUGAGGCGAAAGCGUGAAUAAGAGAGAGAUUUGGAGCUGAGAUGGUGUUUUCUCUUAAAUGAAGAACUCAUUCAGUGACGCCGGAGGAAGAGGAAAGUUGAUUAACGGUGUUUGUGCACUGUUUAUUGUUCUCUCCUUGUUUCUCUGCUGAUAUCAGGGGCUCUGGUUCUGUCUGACACAAUACAA
ensembl:lncRNA